CUCCUGCCCGGGGCUCAGAAGGAGGCUGGCUGUCCGCUCCAAGGGAAAGGGGGAAAGGGGUGUGCAGAUUCUCCAGAAAGGUGCCUUCAAAAAGCAUCCGUUAACACUGCUGUCUGCGUUGUGGAUAUUUUUUCCUCAGUGAUCGCUGGGGCACUUCAAAAUGUGCCAUGCUGUGGGCCGGUUCAAUUAACAUAAAAUAAGCAAACAGCUCAUGACGGGGAGCACAGCUAGGUGUGGGUUAACAUGCAACCCACCACCGUCUUGCACCUCAUGUUAAGCUGCCAGUAUAAGUUUUUGUCCAGGCAGCCGGCCUGAACUCUUUCAGGAAAAAGUUCCAAAUUAGCAUCCCACUGGCAGAAAUGGUUGCAACGUGAAUUCCUUUCUAGCUGGCCUAGCACCAUCCACUUAGCAAAAAACAUGAAUGGGACAAAUGCUGCUAUUUCCUAGCAAGCAGUGAGUUGACCUGUGAGUAGGCAUACAAUACUGUAUAUCUGCACA